UCAUAUUUGUUAUGUAAUUUACACAAUCCAUGAUACAUAGCAAAUUCAAAACUAAUUAAAAAACUAAUAUACAAUAAGUUUUAAAAAAUCAGUGUACAAUAGUUACAAUUUUGAAAGCAAACAAAAAACAGACCAUGUGCUAUAGUACUUUCUAACACAGACUUAGACAGUGAUAAUUAUCAACGUUUAGUUUUUUGGUACACUGAUGGAUUGUCCGACGUGAUGGAGGAUGCAGUCAGAAUCUGUCUGCAAAAAAUGAAGUGAUUAGGUCUAUGAUUGCCUUAAAACAAUGCAGUACAGCUGCCGAGUUUGAAAAGAUGUCAAAGGAAGUGAUUGUCAAAACAGACAGAGAAACUGGCAGUUCAGUAAUUUCACAGUAUCUACAGGACCAUUGGUUUCGAAAUGCAGACAUGUGGGCCAAUUUUGGACGGAGAGUUUACCACCAAGACAGUGAAACGAACAACCUUGUUGAGAGAUUUUUUUUCAGCAUGAAGUAUCAGUUUCUUCAUGGCUAUGCAAACAGACGAGUUGAUGAACUACUUCUACUACUUAAUACCAAGGUGGUCACUUACUAGAGGUAUCUGGAAGGUCUUCAUGGUGCUCAGAGGAUUUCUGAUUCCAAAACACAGGAUACUGCAGAAUCUGCAUUACGUACGAAGAACAAAGGCCUUCAAAAUAAAUUUGUUUACAAAUCAGGUGGCCAUUGCACAGUGCCUUCAGAAGCAGAUAAAGCAAAAUGUUAUGCUGUGGAUUUAAUUAGCAUGAAAUGUGAAUGCGCCGUUUCUGAAAGGGGUAAUUUGUGCAAGCAUAUUGAGUUUGCAAAAAUGAUGUGCAAAGAACAGGGGAUUGAUAUUGAUGGAAUUCGAAAAGAAUUAGCCAGUUCACUAACUGAACAGCAUUGCUAUGAGUGGGAUGGAAAACAUUUAAUUGUACAUUGUGCUGGUAGUUUUGGAGUAGUACAUGUGCAAAACCAACAGUGUACCUGUCUUGCCAAUAGUCUUGGAGAAAUAUGUGUCUGUCUAAGACUUUCUGAGAUAAUUGGUACACAGAACCCUAACCAAGAGGUAACGGACUGCUUUGUGAAUACCACAGCAAAUUGUCAAUCACACAAUAAACAGUUGUGUGUAAAGAAAAUGAUUUCAGACUUAAAGGAGUGGUGUGACAGCAGUGAUUAUAAGGAAUCUCCAGAGUUGAAUGCUGUAGUAAAACGUGCACACCAACUAGCAUUUGGA